GAUGAACGCUAGCUACAGGCUUAACACAUGCAAGUCGAGGGGAAACGAUAUUGGAAGCUUGCUUCCGAUAGGCGUCGACCGGCGCACGGGUGAGUAACGCGUAUCCAACCUGCCCACCACUUGGGGAUAACCUUGCGAAAGUAAGACUAAUACCCAAUGAUAUCUCUAGAAGACAUCUGAAAGAGAUUAAAGAUUUAUCGGUGAUGGAUGGGGAUGCGUCUGAUUAGCUUGUUGGCGGGGUAACGGCCCACCAAGGCGACGAUCAGUAGGGGUUCUGAGAGGAAGGUCCCCCACAUUGGAACUGAGACACGGUCCAAACUCCUACGGGAGGCAGCAGUGAGGAAUAUUGGUCAAUGGGCGAGAGCCUGAACCAGCCAAGUAGCGUGCAGGACGACGGCCCUAUGGGUUGUAAACUGCUUUUAUAAGGGAAUAAAGUGAGUCUCGUGAGACUUUUUGCAUGUACCUUAUGAAUAAGGACCGGCUAAUUCCGUGCCAGCAGCCG
rnacentral:rRNA from 1 species